GGCGACGUCACGCGCCGCCGCCAUGUUUGUUGAGGGCAAGGCGUCGGCUCGGAAGAGGGGCUUGAGCGGCCUUCCGUGGGGAGGCGCGGCGCUUCCGGGCGGCCCGGUGGCUGGUGACUUCUGGCGUCACGGCUCCAGGCGCAGAAAAGCUGCAAGACCAGAUAAAACGACACCCUGGCUGACGGGAGGACCAGCUUCGAUGACUAAGGACCCCCUGGCGACGACCAAUCAGUGGCGACCAGGGCCCCGAAAGAACACACCUGGAAAGCCGAUGACUGUUCUCUUGAGAUUCUCCCCUAAAAUCCGCACCUCUAAAAUACAGAUUUAAAAUCCUCAAGAC